UACGUAGGGGGCGAGCGUUGUCCGGAUUUAUUGGGCGUAAAGAGCUCGUAGGCGGCUUGGCAAGUCGGGUGUGAAACCUCCAGGCUCAACCUGGAGACGCCACCUGAUACUGCUGUGACUCGAGUCCGGUAGGGGAGCGUGGAAUCCCUGGUGUAGCGGUGAAAUGCGCAGAUAUCAGGAGGAACACCAGCGGCGAAGGCGGCGCUCUGGGCCGGAACUGACGCUGAGGAGCGAAAGCGUGGGUAGCAAACAGG
rnacentral:rRNA from 1 species